rnacentral:sRNA from 1 species
AUGUGUGAUAUGCCUCUUCUGAGGUGCAUCAUGCACGGGUGAGUGUUUAUUUUUGUGGAGGUGGUGGCUGGGGAGGACAUGGCCAGCCACAAAAGUUGUCUUCAUUGUUUAGUUAAAUGAUUGGACGCAUCUCGCCUGGUGAUGCUGUCUGCUUGAGGCAGGGCAGAGGUGAAUGCCUUAUGAUCCCAGCACUGGGCAGCAGCUGAGCCUGCAGGGGUGCAGAUUUUGAAGACUGUGGUUGUGCCUGAUUCUUUCAGAGCAGAGACAUUAGAGAAAGAGAGGGUUUUGAGAAUGAUGAGCUUCAGAGGCUCUGUGAUGAAGAAGUUGACUGAGGAGAG